UACGUAGGGUGCAAGGCGUUGUCCGGAAUUAUUUGGGCGUAAAGAGCUCGUAGGCGGUCUGUCGCGUCGGCUGUGAAAACCCGAGGCUCAACCUCGGGCCUGCAGUCGAUACGGGCAAACUAGAGUACUGCAGGGGAGACUGGAAUUCCUAGGUGUAGCGGUGAAAUGCGCAGAUAUCAGGAGGAACACCGGUGGCGAAGGCGGGUCUCUGGGCCGAUACUGACGCU
rnacentral:rRNA from 1 species